GCACAUGUUGUGGAUGAUACUGGUACC
rnacentral:piRNA from 1 species